UACGUAGGUGGCAAGCGUUGUCCGGAAUUACUGGGUGUAAAGGGAGCGCAGGCGGGAAGCCAAGUCAGCUGUGAAAACUACGGGCUUAACUUGUAGACUGCAGUUGAAACUGGUUUUCUUGAGUGAAGUAGAGGUUGGCGGAAUUCCUGGUGUAGCGGUGAAAUGCGUAGAUAUUAGGAAGAACACCAGUGGCGAAGGCGGCUUUCUGGACUGAAACUGACGCUGAGGCACGAAAGCGUGGGGAGCGAACAGG
rnacentral:rRNA from 1 species